rnacentral:rRNA from 1 species
AUUGAACGCUGGCGGCAGGCCUAACACAUGCAAGUCGAACGAGUGGCGGACGGGUGAGUAAUGUCUGGGAAACUGCCUGAUGGAGGGGGAUAAAUACUGGAAACGGUAGCUAAUACCGCAUACCAUCAGAUGUGCCCAGAAGGGAUUGGCUGGGGGGGGGGGUACAGGCGCACCAAGGCGACGAUCCCUAGCUGGUCUGAGAGGAUGACCAGCCACACUGGAACGGCGACACGGUCCGGACUCCUCCGGGAGGCAGCAGUGGGGAAUAUGGCACAAUGGGCGCAAGCCUGAUGCAGCCAUGCCGCGUGUAUGAAGAAGGCCUUCGGGUUGUAAAGUACUUUCAGCGGGGAGGCGUUACCCGCAGAAGAAGCACCGGCUAACUCCGUGCCAGCCGCCGCGGUAAUAC